AUUGAACGCUGGCGGCAGGCCUAACACAUGCAAGUCGAGCGGAUGAAGGGAGCUUGCUCCUGGAUUCAGCGGCGGACGGGUGAGUAAUGCCUAGGAAUCUGCCUGGUAGUGGGGGAUAACGUCCGGAAACGGGCGCUAAUACCGCAUACGUCCUGAGGGAGAAAGUGGGGGAUCUUCGGACCUCACGCUAUCAGAUGAUCCUAGGUCGGAUUAGCUAGUUGGUGGGGUAAAGGCCUACCAAGGCGACGAUCCGUAACUGGUCUGAGAGGAUGAUCAGUCACACGGGAAAUGAGACACGGUCCAGAAUACUACGGGAGGCAGCAGUGGGGAAGAUUGGACAAUGGGCGAAAGCCUGAUACAGACAUGCCGCGUGUGUGAAGAAGGUCUUCGGAUUGUAAAGCACUUUAAGUUGGGAGGAAGGGAAGUAAGUUAAUACCUUGCUGUUUUGACGUUACCAACAGAAUAAGCACCGGCUAACUUCGUG
rnacentral:rRNA from 1 species